GAUGAAGAACGUAGCGAAAUGCGAUAAGUAAUGUGAAUUGCAGAAUUCAGUGAAUCAUCGAAUCUUUGAACGCACAUUGCGCCCUUUGGCAUUCCGAAGGGCACACCUGUCCGAGCGCCGUCGCACAACUGAGGCGCAGCCUUGCGUUGGCGGGCGACUUGUGAGUAGCGAGUCGCCGCCCAAACGAGACGGCGCCGCGCCGCGGCCGACGAAGCACGAAAGCGGAAGUCGACGCGGAGGCGGUUGCCUGUAGGAAGACACAGCUUGGCCUCGGAUCAGGUGGGGAUACCCGCUGAACUUAAGCAUAUCAAUAAGCGGAGA
rnacentral:misc_RNA from 1 species